AGUGAACGCUGGCGGCGUGCCUAAUACAUGCAAGUCGAACGGAGUGGCGCACGGGUGAGUAAUAUAUAGCUAAACUUCCCCUUGCUGGAGGACAACAGUUAGAAAUGACUGCUAAUACUCCAUAGCAAGGGAUGAGACUAUAUCGUAUGAGCUAGGCGGUGGGGGAACGGCCUACCGAGGCUAUGACGCGUAACUGGUCUGAGAGGAUGAUCAGUCACAUUGGAGAUGAGACAGUGUCAAAACUCCUACGGGAGGCAGCAGUAGGGAAUAUUGCGCACUGGGGGAAAGCCUGAAGCAGCAUCGCCGCGUGGAGGAUGACACUUUUCGGAGCGUAAGCUCCUUUUGUUAGGGAAGCGGUACCUAACGAGUAAGCACCGGCUAACUCCGUGCCAGCAGCCGCGGUAAUUC
rnacentral:rRNA from 1 species